rnacentral:rRNA from 1 species
GCAAUACACGAAAGUGUGACAAGGCUAUCCCGAGUGCCAUCCGCUGAGGAAGGCUUUUACCCAGUAUAAAUAGCUGGGAGAAUAAGGAGAGGGCAAGACUGGUGUCAGCCGCCGCGGUAAUACCAGCUCUCCGAGUGGUGUGGAUGUUUAUUGGGCCUAAAGCAUCCGUAGCUGGCUGGGCAAGUCCCCUGUUAAAUCCACCGAUUCAAUCGUUGGAUUGCGGGGGAUACUGUUUGGCUAGGGGACGGGAGAGGCCGACGGUAUUUCCGGGGUAGGGGUGAAAUCCUAUAAUCCCGGGAAGACCACCAGUGGCGAAGGCUGUCGGCUAGAACGCGCCCGACGGUGAGGGAUGAAAGCUGGGGGAGCGAACCGGAUUAGAUACCCGGGUAGUCCCAGCUGUAAACGAUGCAGGCUAGGUGUUUGGGCGGCCACGAGCCGCCCUAGUGCCGCAGGGAACUGUUAAGCCUGCCGCCUGGGGAGUACGGCCGCAAGGCUGAAACUUAA